AUUUUUUUAGUUUUCUUUUUUUAGUUUUUAUUUUUUCUCUGUUUUGGUUUUUGUUUGCUUUCUUAAAAAAUAUAUAAAAAAUGCACGCUUUUUCCUUUGGUUUUUGAGUUACAAUUAUGAGUAUUUUUCUUAGUUCUCUUGACUAAAGUCUUGUGGUGUGAUGUGAAAAAUUUGUUGUGCAUUUUUAGUAUGAUAGGUAUGACUAAACUCUAAAUUGUAUAUAAUUAUGAGUAUUUUUCUUAGUUCUCUUGACUAAAGUCUUGUGGUGUGAUGUGAAAAAUUUGUUGUGCAUUUUUAGUAUGAUAGGUAUGACUAAACUCUAAAUUGUAUAUCUUUAGCAGUAGAUCAUGGACCCUAGUGAGCUUUGAGCCUUAUAUGGAUAACAUUCAAAAAUCCAUCUCUUUCUUUCUUGUGUGAUUCACUCAUGUCUAUUAGUCUCUAGAACUUGAAUUGACUCUUCUUGAUGUUGUUGUUUACUUGUGCACACU
rnacentral:lncRNA from 1 species